rnacentral:tRNA from 1 species
GUUUUAUUAUCUCAGUUGGUUAGAGCAUGGUGCUAAUAACACAAAGGUUGCAGGUUGGAUCCCUGUAUGGGCCA